rnacentral:misc_RNA from 1 species
GCUCCGUUGGUGAACCAGCGGAGGGAUCAUUACUGGAAUCGCAAGAUCCCACAACCCCUGUGAACCUACCGAAACGUUGCCUCGGCGGGCGCCCGGCCCUGCGCCGGGCGCUGAGCCCGCCGGCGGCCCCCUACUCUUGUCUCUGCAGCGUGGCAUCUCAGAGUCCCGGAAAACAAGUAAAAACUUUCAACAACGGAUCUCUUGGCUCUA